UUUGAUGUUAUGCCAUCUGGUGACCAAGUUCUUAAGUUUUUCAGAAGCCAAGACUUUAUCCCAACUCCCCAGGGAGAAAGCACAACACCAAACCCAUACCCAACAAGACCUCACUGUCAGGAUUCCACCAGUCACAUCCUUCAGGCUCACCCAGACACACCCCAUUCCUCUACUCCUCCUUUGGUGGCCUUCUCAAACUUGGCACUAAGCACACCAAGAGGAUAUGGGGCUCAAAUGGAAGUUAAUCCAUAUAACCAGUACCCGUACCAGGCAGGCCCAGUGCUUCCGCCCUAUCCCAAUGCUCCCAGGAGGGAUGUGAUUCUAGAUCCUGCUCUUCGACCUACUGGACUUCGGAGCCAGAGGGACUUGAGCCGGCAGGGCAGUCUGUCUGGUCCCAACUGGUCCAUUCACACAGAGGGUCAGACUCGCAGUUACUGUUAAAGCACAAACCAAUGGCAAGGGUAAAGGUUCUUUGGACUGGAAGUGAAAUCCAUUGGGAGGAAUGUCCUAAAAUAACCCCACUGCUGUGCUCCAUAACUGGACCUUUAGAGUAAAGGAAAGAGAAGUAGACAGAGAGGGUAGGGCAUGAUGGUUAAGAAAAUCAAAGAAGUGAACCAUAUAGUGGCUUAGAUAUGUAAACAUUCCAGUAGACACUGUGUUGUCCAGCAGAGGUCAUCAGAGAGUUGUAUGGCUGCUGUCCCUCUGAAGGGAGUAUCAGGUAUUCUGCGUGGUGGCGUUUUUCUGCUUUAGGUACUUUCUGGGUUUAAGUUUAUUGCUAGAACACUAGGUGACAGGACAGAGAGUGGUGUCCAGGGAAAUAAGCUUAGUAUGUGUUUUUUUGUUUUGUUUUGUUUUUUUGUUUUUUUUUCUUUUUUAAAUGCUAAAAUAAUUUGACGGUAACCUUAUGCUGCUGGCUGGUUCUAAAGAAGCAACUUGUUUCAUUUUGCCUUUGUAUUUUUUUUUUGUUGUUGUUUGUAGUAGUCAGUUUAAUUUUUACAGCUUUUUAACAUUUUAAGUUAAUUUAACUUCAUUACAAAGAGCAUUUAAGAUAUUUUUUGCUGUGUUUCAAAGACUGCGAAGAAUAGGAAUGUUAUAGUUUUUAGUCAUUGGUUUUUGUUUGUGUGUGUAAGAGAGAGAGAAUGGGCAUGUGUUUUCAUUUGUGUAUGGAUGUUUGUGUCCCAAUAAUCUUUGUCCUGUGAAACGUACAUGAAAGAACGUGAAGGAAACACUGCCAUGUGCUUAAGGGAUAAUGUGUAUGUGUGCAUCUACGUACAUUUUGUGUGUGUCCAUAUUUAUUGGAAGGUACUGCACAUGUAAUCAUAACAUGUACUGGAUAUGGGAUUUCAUAGCUGAACUGUCAACCGAUGUGCUAAUCAAUGCAUCAGUCAUUACAUUAUUGGUAAAUACAGAGGUUUCCUCAGACCAAUCAGUUGCACUGUAGGAGUUUUUGCUGCAUGGCCCAUCAAAGGUUUCAUGACAUCUUGUUGUUAUUGUUAUUAUUAUUAUUAAAGAAAAUGUUCUGUUAUUGAAGCAUUGUAAGAAUCUAGAUGUCUCCAAAUUUUUGAUGGGCAAUGUUUGUCCAGUUCUGAUACCUGUUGAAUCUGUUGUCUUUCUGAGGAAUUGUUGAAAUGUUCUCACAAAUCUGUGUUCACAUAAUGAUUAUAUUCUUACCACAACAAAAGUGUGCGACGUGUAUCCGAGGUUCUUAGUUCAGUUCGGUUAGUUUAGUUCCGACACUAAUACACCUGUACGUUUUCCCCCCUCGAGACUUAUCUAAAUAUUGGAGCCAAGUUUAUUAGGUAGUUCUUGCAUACUGCCAAAGUUUAGUUCAGCAGAAACAGGGUUGGGCAGCUCAACACUACUGUAAUGCAAUAUGACAAUGUGAGGAUUCCUUAGGGCAAGUGAGCUCCUGGUGAUCUACCCUUAACUUAAACACGCCUGACUCUUAAAAAAAAAUUUAAGCACGCCCGAGUAGAUCUCCAAUGAAUGGAUUUGGGCGUGAUGGCUUUUUCGGUUGUGUUUCAUUUCUGUAGGAGGGUAGCGCUCCGGGAACAUAGUUGCACACCUCUUAGGGUGGAACAAGGAUGACACCUAUAGUGGUUUCCUAGCAACGGAUGCCUUUCCUUGAGCACUUGUUUUGUAACGUGCCGAGACUUGAACAUUACCUCUUGAGUCAGUGUUAAUAGGGAUACAUGAGCCUUUAAUUGCUCCUUUCUCGUUAGCAGUAUGUCUGGUGUCCUUAAAUAUCUGGCCCUAAAUGUUUAAGGUGAAUACAUUGCACAUUUUAAUUUUUUUGUUUGUUUGCUGCGCAGGAGUGAGCAACUUUGUUGAAGCCUUUAAAGUACAAAGUUUAGGUGUGUGUGUGUGUGUGUGUGUGUGUGUGUGUGUGUGUGUGUGUGUGUGAAGGCUCUUGUCUUUUUUUUUUUUAUUAUUAUUUUUAUUUUUUUUUAUCCAUAACUAUGCAGUGAAGUACAAGGGAAGAUUUCCUACAACAUAGUAACUCUUUACUCCAAAUGUAUGUAUUCCAGUAGUGAGGGGUGUGGGUGUGUGUGCGCGCACGUGUGUUGGUUAAUGUGCUUUAAACCUAAACAUCCUGUUCAAUGGUCUCUUUUUUGCCUUGUAGCAAUUUGCAAAAGGCAAUUCACCAUGUUUUGUAAUAUUUACCGAUGUGUGAAUAAAAAAAAAAAAACUUGGAUGCAUCAGUCAUGUAUAGUGUUUGUGUGAUAUUUUAUACAACAAAGGUUCUGUUGAAUUCUCUAAUCUGAUUGGUCAGAAGAUUCAUUGAUUGAUUAAUUUUCUGUAACAGCAGCUCUAAUAGUAA
ensembl:lncRNA